rnacentral:rRNA from 1 species
GUAGUCCACGCCGUAAACGAUGGGCACUAGGUGCUUGGGGGAGCGACCCUCUGAGUGCCGGCGCUAACGCAUUAAGUGCCCCGCCUGGGGAGUACGGCCGCAAGGCUGAAACUCAAAGGAAUUGACGGGGGCCCGCACAAGCGGUGGAGCAUGUGGUUUAAUUCGACGCAACGCGAAGAACCUUACCUAGGCUUGACAUGCAGAGGAAAGCUUUGAGAAACCAGAGCCCUCCUUCGGGACUUCUGCACAGGUGCUGCAUGGCUGUCGUCAGCUCGUGUCGUGAGAUGUUGGGUUAAGUCCCGCAACGAGCGCAACCCCCGUUCCCAGUUACUAACGGGUUAUGCCGAGGACUCUGGGAAGACUGCCGGUGCCAAACCGGA